ensembl:ncRNA C45G7.11 ncRNA
GAAAAAUAUCGAUUUUCAGCCAAUUUAUAAGCAUUUUAAGUUGGUGGCCUAGAAAUCCAAAGUUAGGCCA